rnacentral:rRNA from 1 species
UACGGAGGGGGCUAGCGUUGUUCGGAAUUACUGGGCGUAAAGCGCACGUAGGCGGCUUUGUAAGUUAGAGGUGAAAGCCCGGGGCUCAACUCCGGAAUUGCCUUUAAGACUGCAUCGCUAGAAUUGUGGAGAGGAAGUGGAAUUCCGAGUGUAGAGGUGAAAUUCGUAGAUAUUCGGAAGAACACCAGUGGCGAAGGCGACUUACUGGACACAUAUUGACGCUGAGGUGCGAAAGCGUGGGGAGCAAACAGG